GCCCUAGUAGCUUACACAAAAGCAUUGUUCUUGUAAACCAAAGACGGAUUUUAAUCCCUAGAGCA
rnacentral:tRNA from 1 species